rnacentral:rRNA from 1 species
CAGCCGCCGCGGUAAUACGCAGGGUGCAAGCGUUAAUCGGAAUUACUGGGCGUAAAGCGUGCGCAGGCGGUUCGCUAAGACAGAUGUGAAAUCCCCGGGCUUAACCUGGGAACUGCAUUUGUGACUGGCGGGCUAGAGUAUGGCAGAGGGGGGUAGAAUUCCACGUGUAGCAGUGAAAUGCGUAGAGAUGUGGAGGAAUACCGAUGGCGAAGGCAGCCCCCUGGGCCAAUACUGACGCUCAUGCACGAAAGCAUGGGGAGCAAACAGGAUUAGAUACCCGCGUAGUCCCUGUCUCUUAUAA